AGAGCUUGGUUUUAGUGUGUUUCCGAUAUCAAUCACAAAUCUAUAUUUUACGUCUGCUUUGAGGAGACGCUCCAUUGCAGUGUUGACAUAAUCAAUAGGAAUGAUCUCAAUGUCUGGUUUUACAUUGUGUAACACAGCAAAGUCCAUUAUCUCUUGGGUCUCCUUCAUCCCUCCUAUCUUACUCCCAGCCACUAUCUUUCUCCCUGUCAAUAGUUUUAAAUACUUGUUAGCAUCAAAAUGAUGUAUUAAAUUUUUAUGCAUGCAUCUGAAGUUUGCACUAAACAACAUAUCCUUUUUGUAGAAUCACAUGUUUUCGUGCUCUGCAUCCAUGGGAAAUAUAAUAUAUAAAUUUUCAUAUGCUUACCUAAAAUUAGUGAAAUAAUAGAAAGCUCCAAAGGUUUCUCUGGUGCACCCACAGCUACAAGCUUUCCAUGAGACUUAAGCAAACCAAUGAGAGGUAAGAGAGGAUGAACGGCAGAAACCGUAUCAAUAAUACCAUCCAAAGUACCAUUUGCAGCCUGAAAAGUAAUCAACACUAGUUAAUUGAGAGAGAGAGACAUGUGUUUUUUAGUACAGUUCAUAUUAGUGCAUGGCCUAAUAAUAUGUACCUGCAUCUGAUCUGGGUCACGGCUUAUGAUAAAGGAGUCAGCUCCUAGAUGUUGCAUUGCUUCUUUCUUUUUGUUGGGUGAUGUACUUAUUACCGUGACCUUAGCCCCAAAAGCUUUGGCAAACUUCACAGCCAUAUGGCCAAGUCCACCGAGACCAACCACACCCACAUUUAGACCAGGCUUAUCAAGUGCAAAAUAUCUGAGAGGGCUAAACACUGUGAUCCCUGCACAUAGGAGAGGUGCAGCAGCUUCAAGUGGUAAGCCAUCAGGAAUGCGAAUCACAAAAUGUUCAUCCACAACCAUUGAGUCAGAGAAGCCUCCAUAUGUGAUGGUGCCAUCUCUAUAUUUGGCACUAUAUGUGAGAGUGUAUUGUGGACAAUAAUUCUCAAGAUUGUCAACACAGUUUAGGCAGGUGUGACAGGAAUCAACCAUGCAUCCUACUCCCACCUUGUCUCCAACUUUGAACUUUACCACUUUACUUCCCACCUCUGUCACCACACCAGCUAUCUCGUGCCUGAAAUAUAUUUAGCACUAAUUAGAAUCAAAUUAAAUUUGUCCUUUAAUACUACAGUUCAAUGUUCGUAAGAGUAGCCUGGUGGCUAGUGAACCAUCUAAGUAGUUCAUUCUGCUUCACAUCAAGAAUUUCUACUGUUCUUAGAUAGUAAAUAGAAAAACCAAAACUGUUUUUUCUUUUAUCGUACAGGUAUCACCCUGAUAUAGAACUAAAACAAUAAUUGGUAUUAAAGUAUGAUGUAUACCCUGGGACUAAUGGAUAGGUGGAAGUGCCCCAUUCGUUCUUGGCAAAGUGAAGGUCCGAGUGGCAUAUUCCACAGUACAACACUUUGAAUGCCACAUCUUUUUCACCUGUUUCUCUGAUAAACAUUCAGAAAGCAAAACUGAAUUAAUUGGGUGCAAGUAAACUUUGUUCUUAACAAUUUUUUUAGUCAGUAUCAAUGUGUUUUUAGUAUAUAUAAUAUAUAUGUAGUUUUCAAUUAUAAAUACGUAGUAUGGAUCUGGAAAGAUCAGAUAACUCGUUUCAUCAUAAUGUUGUUCAUAUUUUGUUGUUUUGAAAGGUGGUCUAAUAAAUAAUUGAAAAGGGAUGAACCUUCUGGAGAAAUGGAAAGGUGUGAGAAGGCCAGAAGGGUCCCUAGCUGCCCAUCCGAAUGCUUUCCUUGGAUGCUCAGUUUCUGCCAUUUCAAUCUGUUAAAAUAUUUGGAUGAUAAAAGAAAACCAAAAUAGACUUUUUAAGGAAGAGAAUGUGGAAGCGUGUCUUUGUCUUUGGGUAAGACUGCAGUUGAGAGAAAGAGGAAUUUAUAAGUGGGAAGGGAAUUGUAGAGGGUUAGAUUGACGUCUUUGGUGACGUCUUUCACGUCUCAGGUGACAAUGUUGCUUACUUCAGAAUGCAUUUCUUAGUACAAAAAUUAUACUUUUACAUUCACCCAGAAAAGUAAUUCAAUUGAGAACUACUUUAAUAAUAAUAAUAUAGAAUGCAGAGAAUUCAUUGAACAUGACUGUCGGAUCAACUAGUGAAGUCAAAAUUUUGAUUAGAUUUUUGAACAUGAUUGAUAUUUAGUCAUCAUUUCAUCCUCCCAAACGCAUUUUCUUAUACUUUAAUGAUAUAUAAUACAGAGAAUUCAUUGAACAUGAUUGUUAGAUCAACUAUUCAAGUCAAAAUUUGAUAAGAUUUUUGAACAUGAUGAUGGAUGUUAGUGGUCAUCAUUCGAUCCUCCAUUCAAUUCAAGAGUGAAAGUGUUAGAUCCUCCUGAAGAGUUCAUAUAGUAAAGAGUUCAUAUAGGGGCCUAAAGUCAUUUAGGCUAUCUUUGAAUUGGGGAGGGGAUUUGAGGGAGUGAAUUUGAGAUUAUUUGAAGAGAAAGUGUGAAGAAAGUGAGGUUGUUUGGAUUAAGGUAAAUAUAGUGGAAAGUGUAGAGAAAGUUUAUGAAAGUUUGUGAGUGAUAUGAUGGAUGUGAUUAGAAAUGUAUUUUUUUUAAUUAAAAAUAUGUAAAUUUACAAAUUUAUCCUUGAAUUUGAAAAUUAUUGAAAAUUAAUUUGUUUUAUUUUUUUAAAAUUAUAAUUAUUUUUUAAUUAAAAUAUUAUAUUAUUUUUUAAUAAUUAUUAAUUUCUAUUUUUAUUUUUAUUUUUUAGGUUUAAAUUUUAAUUUUAAUUUACAUAAACAUUAUUAUAAUUUGAGAUUAAAAUAAAAAGGGUAAUAAAGUAAAUUACAAAUAACUAAUUAUAUUUAUACAUAUAUAUUCAUCUUUCCUUACAAAUCCGUUCUUAGUUACGAAGAAAGUUUGAGAGUGAAAAGUGUUCUCGAUUUUCGUGUUUUAUCUAUUUUAUUCUUUCGGUAACCGUGCUUUCUUCGUGCACAGUAAAUGCUCUCCUUUCAUUGCAUGGAAACAAACAUAGCAGUGUUUGAAUUUAGGAGUAAAAUUGUGAGGAUUUAAGAAGAAAGUAUGAGAAAAGUUUAUGUAUUUGGGUUUAGGUAUUUUAGAAUAAAUGUGUGAAAAAAGUUUAUUAAACUGUGUGAGGUUGUUAGGAUAUUUAAAAUUAUUUUUAAAAAUGUAAAGUAUAAGUUUAAAAAUUUACUAUUAUCUUUAAAAAUAUUUAAAUAAUGAAAUAUAAAGUAUUUUGUGUAGACUUGAUUUAAUUAAAUUUUAUAAAUUAUUUCUCGUACGGUUGAAUAAUUAUCUUUUUUUAAAAUAUGAGUUUUUUAAAAUAUGAGUUUUAGAACACGAAAUUUUUUCAUGGUGAGUAAUGUGAUGAGUGUUAUUAAAAUUUUAAUUUUUUAGUUAAUAAAAAAUUAAAAUUACAAAUUUAUUCUUAUAUUUAAAAAAUAAUUAAUUUAUAUAUUUAUUUUUUAUAAUUAAUAAUAACAUUAUUAUAAUUUUAUUAUUAUUAUUAUUAUUAAUAUUAUUAAAUAUUUGUUACAAAUUAAAUUAAAUUAAAUUAAUAAUUAUUAAUAAUAAUAUUUAAUAAAUUUAUAUAAUAAUUAUUAAUUUAUUUAAUUUAUAUUUAUUAUCAUUAAUUUAUAUAAAUAAUUAUAUAUAUUUAUUAUUAUUAAAUUUUAAUAUUUAUUUUUAUUAAUAAUAUUAUUAAAUAUUAUUAUUAUUUUAUUAUAUUAUAUAUAAUAAUAAUAAAUAAUUCAAUGUAUUUUAAAAUUAAUUUAAUAUUUAAAUUAUAAAUUAUAAAUAAAAUUAUUAUAUUUAUAAAAAUUUGAAUAAUAAUAUAAAUAAUUUAUUUUAUAUAUUUUUUUAUAUAAAUUUUUGUGUGUUAGAAAUCGCUAUACAAUUUGAAAUAAAAACAUUUUAAAAAAAUAUACAUACAAACAGAAAUAACAAUAGUAUAAGUUUGAGGAUAAAUGAGACUUUUCGAAAUAAAUCACCCAAUUUCAUAAUUUUUCAAAAAAUAAAAUUGAUGUGUUAAAUUACAAAUGGAUCACAUGUAACAUCUCAAUAUGAUGAUACUUGAAAUUGUUUGAUAAUUUUUUCAUAUAUAAUAUUUGGUAUAGUUCAGAUUUUCAUUAUUUAAUCUUAUAUUUGUACAACAGUUUGUUAGAUCUUAUAAUUGUAGAUUAAUUUUCUCUUCUGAGUUUUGUCAAAUUCAAGAGAAGAGAAGACUAUAUGUGCUGCACACUCCAAAACAAGAAACAAAGAUUAGUUAACACAAAAAAAUAGUUGUCGAAAAUGAAAAGGAGGCUAAAAGCAUUUGGGACCUUACAUUGGGACAUCCGUCGGGUAAAGCAUUUGGGACCCUAAAGUCUUACCACAUUCUUCUUUUUAUUUUUCAAUCCAUGAGAAGUUCCAUUUUCCAACUUACUUCUUUAUUUUUUUUGUAUUUUUCAUCUUCUUUUUAUUUUAGAGUAUUUAAAUUUAAUAAUUAAAAAAUUGUACAAUAUUUUAAAAUUAUCAUAAAAUUAAUAAUAAAAUUAUUGUUUUGUGUUUUAUUUAAUGAUCAUUUUUAAAUUUUUGAAAAAAAAUCCAUAUCUUUAUUUUAUAUAUUAAAUACUAUUAAAAAUAAGAAUUUCUAAUAGAAAUUAUUUAAAAAAAAUAAUCAUGUUUAAACAUUACAUUUUUUUUACUGAUUUAUGACUUUGUUAAAUUUAUUGAUUUCUUGAUUUUUACUAUAACUGAUUUAUUAUUUUUACUAUAAUUAUAGUUAAACAUUCCAAAAUUUAUAUUAAUUUCUAGUAAUCUGCGAGGGUGACGGGUGGACAACUUUGGAUAUAUAGUUCAUUGGGAGGAGAUUAUAAAGUAGGUAAUGUCCAUAUUGAAGCUUUUUUAUAUGGAUUAUAUUAUAUUACAACUCCUUAUUUAUUAUAUUAUUUGUUGCAUAUAAAAGAAAUAUACGGUCAAAAUCAUGUUAAUCAAGAUAUAUAACAGUAUUUUCGCCACACUGCGUGUGAAGUUCUUAUUUUUUCAUUAUUGUUGUAAUCAAUAUUACAAAAAUACAUAUUGAAAUAAGUAAACAUUUAAAAAAAAAGGCAACAGUGGCUGAAAACUAUCACAUUUGUCACUUAGUAUCUUUGACAUAUACUAGAAUGGCAAAAGAUUCAAGAACUUGGUUUUAGUGUGUUUCCGAUGUCAAUCACAAAUCUAUAUUUUACAUCUGCUUUGAGUAGACGCUCCAUUGCAGUGUUGACAUAAUCAAUAGGAAUGAUCUCAAUGUCUGGUUUUACAUUGUGCUUCGCAGCAAAGUCCAUCAUCUCUUGGGUCUCCUUCAUUCCUCCAAUCCCACUCCCUGCCACUAUCUUUCUCCC
rnacentral:lncRNA from 1 species